rnacentral:rRNA from 1 species
AGAGUUUGAUCCUGGCUCAGGAUGAACGCUAGCUACAGGCUUAACACAUGCAAGUCGAGGGGCAGCAUUUUAGUUUGCUUGCAAACUGAAGAUGGCGACCGGCGCACGGGUGAGUAACACGUAUCCAACCUGCCGAUAACUCCGGAAUAGCCUUUCGAAAGAAAGAUUAAUACCGGAUGGCAUACGAAUAUCGCAUGAUAUUUUUAUUAAAGAAUUUCGGUUAUCGAUGGGGAUGCGUUCCAUUAGUUUGUUGGCGGGGUAACGGCCCACCAAGACUACGAUGGAUAGGGGUUCUGAGAGGAAGGUCCCCCACAUUGGAACUGAGACACGGUCCAAACUCCUACGGGAGGCAGCAGUGAGGAAUAUUGGUCAAUGGGCGCGAGCCUGAACCAGCCAAGUAGCGUGAAGGAUGAAGGCUCUAUGGGUCGUAAACUUCUUUUAUAUGGGAAUAAAGUUUUCCACGUGUGGAAUUUUGUAUGUACCAUAUGAAUAAGGAUCGGCUAACUCCGUGCCAGCAGCCGCGGUAAUACGGAGGAUCCGAGCGUUAUCCGGAUUUAUUGGGUUUAAAGGGAGCGUAGGUGGAUUGUUAAGUCAGUUGUGAAAGUUUGCGGCUCAACCGUAAAAUUGCAGUUGAAACUGGCAGUCUUGAGUACAGUAGAGGUGGGCGGAAUUCGUGGUGUAGCGGUGAAAUGCUUAGAUAUCACGAAGAACUCCGAUUGCGAAGGCAGCUCACUAGACUGUCACUGACACUGAUGCUCGAAAGUGUGGGUAUCAAACAGGAUUAGAUACCCUGGUAGUCCACACAGUAAACGAUGAAUACUCGCUGUUUGCGAUAUACAGUAAGCGGCCAAGCGAAAGCAUUAAGUAUUCCACCUGGGGAGUACGCCGGCAACGGUGAAACUCAAAGGAAUUGACGGGGGCCCGCACAAGCGGAGGAACAUGUGGUUUAAUUCGAUGAUACGCGAGGAACCUUACCCGGGCUUAAAUUGCAUUUGAAUAUAUUGGAAACAGUAUAGCCGUAAGGCAAAUGUGAAGGUGCUGCAUGGUUGUCGUCAGCUCGUGCCGUGAGGUGUCGGCUUAAGUGCCAUAACGAGCGCAACCCUUAUCUUUAGUUACUAACAGGUCAUGCUGAGGACUCUAGAGAGACUGCCGUCGUAAGAUGUGAGGAAGGUGGGGAUGACGUCAAAUCAGCACGGCCCUUACGUCCGGGGCUACACACGUGUUACAAUGGGGGGUACAGAAGGCAGCUACCUGGUGACAGGAUGCUAAUCCCAAAAGCCUCUCUCAGUUCGGAUCGAAGUCUGCAACCCGACUUCGUGAAGCUGGAUUCGCUAGUAAUCGCGCAUCAGCCAUGGCGCGGUGAAUACGUUCCCGGGCCUUGUACACACCGCCCGUCAAGCCAUGAAAGCCGGGGGUACCUGAAGUACGUAACCGCAAGGAGCGUCCUAGGGUAAAACUGGUAAUUGGGGCUAAGUCGUAACAAGGUAGCCGUACCGGAAGGUGCGGCUG